GAUGAACGCUAGCGGCAGGCCUAACACAUGCAAGUCGAGGGGCAGCACGUCUUCGGAUGGUGGCGACCGGCGCACGGGUGCGUAACGCGUAUGCAACCUACCUCUUACAGUGGGAUAGCCCAGAGAGAUUUGGAUUAAUACCGCAUAGUAUACAGAUUCAGCAUUGGGACUGUAUUAAACAUUUAUGGGUAAGAGAUGGGCAUGCGUUCUAUUAGUUAGUUGGAGUGGUAACGGCACCCCAACGACAGCGAUAGAUAGGGCCCGUGAGAGGGGGAGUCCCCACACUGGUACUGAGACACGGACCA
rnacentral:rRNA from 1 species